AGAUAAAAAAUCAAUGUCUUCGGACUCUUUGAUGAUUCAUAAUAACUUUUCGAAUCGCAUGGCCUUGUGCUGGCGAUGGUUCAUUCAAAUUUCUGCCCUAUCAACUUUCGAUGGUAGGAUAGUGGCCUACCAUGGUUUCAACGGGUAACGGGGAAUAAGGGUUCGAUUCCGGAGAGGGAGCCUGAGAAACGGCUACCACAUCCAAGGAAGGCAGCAGGCGCGCAAAUUACCCAAUCCCGACACGGGGAGGUAGUGACAAUAAAUAACGAUACAGGGCCCUUUCGGGUCUUGUAAUUGGAAUGAGUACAAUGUAAAUACCUUAACGAGGAACAAUUGGAGGGCAAGUCUGGUGCCAGCAGCCGCGGUAAUUCCAGCUCCAAAAGCGUAUAUUAAAGUUGUUGCAGUUAAAAAGCUCGUAGUUGAACCUUGGGCUUGGUUGGCCGGUCCAUCUUUCUGAUGCGUACUGGACCCAACCGAGCCUUUCCUUCUGGCUAGCCUUUUGGCGAACCAGGACUUUUACUUUGAAAAAAUUAGAGUGUUCAAAGCAGGCCUUUGCUCGAAUAUAUUAGCAUGGAAUAAUAGAAUAGGACGUUAUGGUUCUAUUUUGUUGGUUUCUAGGACCAUCGUAAUGAUUAAUAGGGACGGUCGGGGG
rnacentral:rRNA from 1 species